UGUUUCCCAAGCCAUCAACAAUUUUCUAAAUGAGUAUCAUCAGCUCAGUCUUUAUGUGUAAAGAUAACAUAGCAUUAAGCAAUGCUUUGAAUAUUGAGUCAAUAUUAAGGAUUCAUCCUUGUCUAAAAGAAAUCAAUUCCCAAUAAUCUUGACCUCUCUUACAAUAUUUUCUACAAAGAGUUUUUUUAAAAGAUUUUUCUAACUCAACAGUUUUUUCCCCUGCCUAAAUGGUGUUCAUUAGAUUCUGUUCUUAAUUUUAGCUUUUUUUUUUUUUUUUUUUGGUGCAGGGGAUUGAACCCAGCACCUUAUGCUUGCAAGGCAAGCACUCUUCCAACUGAAUUAUAUCCCUAGCCCUCUCUUCUUAAUUUUAAAAUAAUCCUUUCAUUCUGUACUGGAGGAAAGUCACUCUAUACUAAGGAAUGAAUAAAAAUUAGUUAAUGAUGAUUAAUAGGAACUGAGGUAAGGGUAAUAAUUAUGUAUAAAUAUUCACACACACAUGAAGUCUGAAUACUAUCCUGGAGCUGCAUAGAUGCUAAUAAUUUUUAAGAAUCAAAAUAUUUUACAAUUUUGUUAUUUAUGAGCUUUUAAAAGAAAAGUUAAAAUUAGUUUAACAAAGUAACUAAUUACACAAAACUAUAGCCAUUGAAACAAAAUUAACCUAACAUGUUAAAACUUAAGUAUAUCUAACGGUAAAGAGUCACAUUAUUGGGGGGUGGGGAUAUAGCUUAGUUGGCAGAGUGCUUGUCUCCUAUGCAUAAGGCCCUGGGUUCAAUCCCCAACACCACAAAAAAAAAAAAAAAAUUCACGUUAUUAUUUUCUUAGUCUAAUAAUUUAACCAUUUCUGCUUUGUCAG
rnacentral:lncRNA from 1 species